UUGACAACGCCCGAAUAUCAGAUAUUCAAUUUGCAGUCUCAUUUCGAGCAAAUGUGUCUUCGCAAAUCAGAUUGAUGGUAUUUAGCGAAUCAGAUUCCACAAUCACCCGAAGAAUCCCUAACACAAAGCAAGUCUUAGCCCUUCACGAAUCGCAGCAAUUUCCACCAUCUGAGGACUUUUCCAUGGGACGACAUCAACCAAAGUAGCCAAAACAGUCGAUUUAUCAUCUCUAAGCGGUACACAAGUCCCGUCAGUAUUUAUCUUUACCACCCUCGUAGGAGGAGGAGCCCAGACAUUCUGACGGGAGACCCUCUAAAAUUCGACUAUUGUGGACCAUCAAAUUUCUACCAUUCCAGAUAGCCCAGCAUGCAAUACUUGUUAGGGUGAGUUCGGAUUUGGAAAUGGUGCACAUCCAAUUAGUCCAGCGAUCGAGGAAGCUGUCGUUAAAGCAGCCCCAAACCACCUUGUUCUGAAAUAAACAUUCUCAAAUUCGGCAGGCUCUUGAGCAUCUUACAAGACAAAUAGGACAAUAAGGUUAAGAUCAAGGAGCGGCAGCAAAUAAGGACAAUUACAAAAAUGUGACA